rnacentral:rRNA from 1 species
AUGCGGAUUAAUUAGAUGCAACGCGUAGAACCUUACCUGGGUUUGACAUGGAUCGGGAGUGCUCAGAGAUGGGUGUGCCUCUUUUGGGGUCGGUUCACAGGUGGUGCAUGGCUGUCGUCAGCUCGUGUCGUGAGAUGUUGGGUUAAGUCCCGCAACGAGCGCAACCCUUGUUCACUGUUGCCAGCACGUUAUGGUGGGGACUCAGUGGAGACCGCCGGGGUCAACUCGGAGGAAGGUGGGGAUGACGUCAAGUCAUCAUGCCCCUUAUGUCCAGGGCUUCACGCAUGCUACAAUGGCUGGUACAGAGAGUGGCGAGCCUGUGAGGGUGAGCGAAUCUCGGAAAGCCGGUCUCAGUUCGGAUUGGGGUUUGCAACUUCGCCCUCAUGAAGUGGGAGUCGCUAGUAAUCGCAGAUCAGCAACGCUGCGGUGAAUACGUUCCCGGGGCUUGUACACACCGCCCGUCAAGUCAUGAAAGUUGGUAACACCCGAAGCCGGUGGCCUAACCGUUGUGGGGGAGCCGUCGAAGGUGGGACUGGUGAUUAGGACUAAGUCGUAACAAGGUAACC